rnacentral:rRNA from 1 species
AUUGAACGCUGGCGGCAUGCUUUACACAUGCAAGUCGAACGGCAGCGCGGGCUUCGGCCUGGCGGCGAGUGGCGAACGGGUGAGUAAUGCAUCGGAACGUGCCCAGUAGUGGGGGAUAGCCCGGCGAAAGCCGGAUUAAUACCGCAUACGACCUGAGGGUGAAAGCGGGGGACCGAAAGGCCUCGCGCUAUUGGAGCGGCCGAUGUCGGAUUAGCUAGUUGGUGGGGUAAAGGCUUACCAAGGCGACGAUCCGUAGCUGGUCUGAGAGGACGACCAGCCACACUGGGACUGAGACACGGCCCAGACUCCUACGGGAGGCAGCAGUGGGGAAUUUUGGACAAUGGGGGCAAGCCUGAUCCAGCCAUGCCGCGUGUGUGAAGAAGGCCUUCGGGUUGUAAACCGCUUUUGUUCGGGAAGAAAGCCUCUGAGCUAAUACCCCGGGGGGAUGACGUUACCAGAAGAAUAAGCACCGGCUAACUACGUG